rnacentral:rRNA from 1 species
GCCUACGGGGGGCAGCAGUGGGGAAUAUUGCACAAUGGGCGAAAGCCUGAUGCAGCAACGCCGCGUGAAGGAAGACGGUUUUCGGAUUGUAAACUUCUAUCAAUAGGGAAGAAAGAAAUGACGGUACCUAAAUAAGAAGCCCCGGCUAACUACGUGCCAGCAGCCGCGGUAAUACGUAGGGGGCAAGCGUUAUCCGGAUUUACUGGGUGUAAAGGGAGCGUAGACGGUUACGCAAGUCUGGAGUGAAAGUCGGGGGCCCAACCCCCGGACUGCUUUGGACACUGUAUAACUGGAG